GAUGAACGCUAGCUACAGGCUUAACACAUGCAAGUCGAGGGGUAACGAGAGGAAAGCUUGCUUUCCUUGUCGACGACCGGCGCACGGGUGAGUAACGCGUAUCCAACCUGCCCCCAACUAGGGAAUAACCUUACGAAAGUAAGACUAAUACCCUAUAAUUUCCUCAGAUGUCAUCUGACGAGGAAUAAAGAUUUAUCGGUUGUGGAUGGGGAUGCGUCUGAUUAGCUUGUUGGCGGGGUAACGGCCCACCAAGGCAACGAUCAGUAGGGGUUCUGAGAGGAAGGGCCCCCACAUUGGAACUGAGACACGGUCCAAACUCCUACGGGAGGCAGCAGUGAGGAAUAUUGGUCAAUGGGCGGAAGCCUGAACCAGCCAAGUAGCGUGCAGGAUGACGGCCCUAUGGGUUGUAAACUGCUUUUAUACUGGAAUAAAGUUAGCCACGUGUGGUUAUUUGUAGGUACUGUAUGAAUAAGGACCGGCUAAUUCCGUGCCAGCCGCCGCCGUAA
rnacentral:rRNA from 1 species